GCCCCGGCCAAUGCAGUAAGACCAGACAAGGAAACGAGAGGCGUACGCUUUGGGAAGGAAGCCCACCUGACAAGGCAGGAAAAAGAAAUAGGAGUUAACCUCUGAAAGAAAGAGCUGCUGUUACCCUUUGUACGUGCUUAGUACGUGCUUAGAAAACCCAACCUGGGGGUCCAGGUUGCUGCACAUGUGAGCCCACUGCACGCACGGGGCUGGGCGGAGUGCGAGUCUGAUACACUGUGGGCGCUCGGUCAGUGCAGGCCGACGAGUUUACGAGGGACUCCCCGGGGAACCCGUUUCUCCCAGCUCUGGUCCUGGCAGGAGCAGCUGCCUGCCCCUUGCCUGCCCAGCACUGCUGUCCCUGGCCUGCAGGACCCUUUGAGGAUGCCCUGAAGUUGCAUGAGUGCUCAGUGGCGGCAGGCGUGACAGCAGCCCCCCCUCCCUUGGAGGACCAGUGGCCCAGCCCUCCUACCCGCCGAGCCCCUGUGGCCCCCACGGAGGAACAGCUGCGUCAGGAGCCCUGGUACCAUGGCCGGAUGAGCCGUCGGGCGGCAGAGAGGAUGCUUCGAGCUGACGGGGACUUCCUCGUGCGAGACAGCGUCACCAACCCCGGGCAGUAUGUCCUCACCGGCAUGCACGCCGGGCAGCCCAAGCACCUGCUGCUCGUGGACCCCGAGGGUGUGGUUCGGACGAAGGACGUGCUGUUUGAGAGCAUCAGCCACCUGAUCGACCACCACCUGCAGAACGGGCAGCCCAUCGUGGCCGCCGAGAGUGAGCUGCACCUGCGCGGCGUGGUCUCACGGGAGCCCUGAGCCAGGUGACCGUUCUCAGCCCCGGCUCCUGCCUGUCGUGGCCUUGGGGCUCUCAGCCCUCCUCCUGGAUCCUGGUCAGGCCGAACCGCCGCUGCCUCUCCUUCCUCCGCAUGAGCCUCUGGCAUGGUCCUUCCUCCAGCUGGCCCCCGGCUGGGCAGAGCCUCCUCCUGCCGGGGCCCCUGCCCACCCCCUCCUUUGCCUGGAGUGAGGGUGUUCAUACCAAAGACGGAACCGUUUCGCCUUUAAAGAAAAUAUAUCCAGAAGCAGCCGCUGCCUCGGAGCCCUGGCCCGUGGGUCCCCCUCUCACCGGGCUGGUUCAGUCUAAUUCCCCGGAGAGUCAGGGCUCCCCGGACCCUGGGGAGGAGGUGGAUUCCGGGCCUGGCUGGGCUUCCUUUUCCCACCUGAGGACUGGGUGCACAGUUGUCUUUGAGGGAGGACGGUUAAGGUGCUUUGGGGUUCUCAGGCCAGGACACAUGCUGGCGCUGAAGUGGAGGCAGCCUUGAGGUCACCUGGGAUCUCGGGGUAGCCAGGCCGCUCCAAGACAGUGGAUAUCGAGGCAGUCGUGAGGCCCCUACUCCACCUGGGAGCAGGGGAAGGACGUGGUUGCCUGGCCCGAGCUGCGCCCAGCAGCUUCCCCCCAAUCCCGCCCUCCCAGCUGUGGACCCAGACCGGAUGUUCGGAUCGGUUUGUAAUUAAACCUGGGAAUGGCCACAAGA
rnacentral:sRNA from 1 species